GUUCAAGUUUGCUUAAGAACUCCCUCAAUCCCUCAGUGCGCUGGCGUGAUUGGGGGAGACAGGAAGGGUUGGGCAGCAGUCCAGCACAGCAUGAGUAGGCAUACAUCCAACAGCUGUUGAAGAGCCUAAAUAACAUCUCCACCAUGAGCCACCCAAAAAGGGUCUCUCUCUGGACCAUGGGGGACGUGGUGGACUGGGUGAAGGAGCAGUACCCUGACCAGAAGAAUGCUCUCCAACAGGCCAUCAUCAAGCAUGACAUAUCUGUUACCUUUCCACAAGACGCUCAAUUUCCCAUUCAAACCUCUGGAGAAAACCACUCUACUGUGUCAGACUAGCCCUUCUAAUCAGGGGACUAUUGGCUUCCCUCACCUCCUCCAUACUGUCACUCCCCAGGCCGAGCUCUAUUGAGGAUGUGUGAGAAGAAGUUGGAGAGGAUGGGGGUGGAGGGGGAGAAUCUUCAAGAUAUCCUGUUAGACAUUCUUCACCUCAGUAUCCAGGAAGAACUGGAGAACCUAACCGACAUAUUUUCUGAAUGUUUCUCUUCAUGACUGUAACAAGAAGUGCAUCUACAAUGGAGGAUUACAGAAUAUUGUUUUUGCUUUUUACUCGAAUCCACUGACCUGAAGAAGGCAAGAUUGUAUUUGGCAUAGUGGUAUUUUCAUUGACACUUCGGUGAAUAAAGCACUUGCAUCCUGCUCUU